GAUACAGGCUAAGACCCCAAAUGUCCAAGCCCUGUACCAUCUCUAGCGGGAUGGAGAUACGGGCAGGAUGGGGAGGAAGGCGCUCCCAAAGCCGGCCCCGUUUGCUCAAGAGCCCUGCUGUGAAGAAUGCGAAAGAAGCCCGCCGCUGCUGUGCCGACACAGAGGACUGGGCCCAGCAUCCACGCCGGGCUCCAGACACCUGUCUGGCCAGGACUUCGAGCAACCUUGGAGAGAAGAGUGGAGGGGGCCCACCCACCCAUCACAACAGAUGUAGGAGCCCCAUGGAGAAACAGACACGAAGCAUUCUUCGGCACCGUGGGGCUGCCCCUGUCGCCUGGGGAUGUGGUCAGCCAGGCUCUAGGGGUCUCGGCUCGCACUAGAACUGCCCAAAGUAUGGAAGAGGCUGGCUCCAGAAAGGCUGGAGUCUCAGCCAGAGCUGGAACGACCUUUUCUGGAUGUAAGCCACAUCUGCAUUUCCUAUCAAUGACGUA